GACGAACGCUGGCGGCGUGCCUUAUACAUGCAAGUCGAACGAGAAAGCUCCCUUCGGGGGGUGAGUAAAGUGGCGAACGGGUGAGUAAUACGUAGGUAAUCUACCCAUAGAUUGGGGAUAACGCGCCUAACGGUGCGCUAAUACCGAAUAACGCAUUAAGAUGUUGGUUUUAAUGCCAAAGGUGGUUCGCAAGAACUAUCGUCUUUGGAUGAGCUUACGGCCCAUUAGCUAGUUGGUAGGGUAACGGCCUACCAAGGCUACGAUGGGUAGCCGGCCUGAGAGGGUGUCCGGCCACACUGGGACUGAGAUACGGCCCAGACUCCUACGGGAGGCAG
rnacentral:rRNA from 1 species